rnacentral:rRNA from 1 species
AUACGGAGGAUCCGAGCGUUAUCCGGAUUUAUUGGGUUUAAAGGGAGCGUAGGCGGACGCUUAAGUCAGUUGUGAAAGUUUGCGGCUCAACCGUAAAAUUGCAGUUGAUACUGGGUGUCUUGAGUACAGUAGAGGCAGGCGGAAUUCGUGGUGUAGCGGUGAAAUGCUUAGAUAUCACGAAGAACUCCGAUUGCGAAGGCCGCCUGCUGGACUGUAACUGACGCUGAUGCUCGAAAGUGUGGGUAUCAAACAGGAUUAGAUACCCUGGUAGUCCACACAGUAAACGAUGAAUACUCGCUGUUUGCGAUAUACAGUAAGCGGCCAAGCGAAAGCGUUAAGUAUUCCACCUGGGGAGUACGCCGGCAACGGUGAAACUCAAAGGAAUUGACGGGG